rnacentral:rRNA from 1 species
CCUANGGGUGGCUUCAGUCGAGAAUAUUCCUCAAUGGCCGAAAGGCUGAAGGAGCGACGCCGCGUGCAGGAAGACGGCCUUCGGGUUGUAAACUGCUUUUAUGGGGGACGAACACUGACGGUACCCCAAGAAUAAGAGGUUGCUAACUCUGUGCCAGCAGCAGCGGUAAUACAGAGACCUCAAGCGUUAUCCGGAUUAACUGGGCGUAAAGCGUCCGCAGACGGUCGGGAACGUUCCGCGUCAAAUGCCGAAGCUCAACUUCGGCACUGCGUGGAAUACGGCUCGGCUCGAGGUUGGGAGAGGUGAGCGGAAUUGCCGGUGUAGUAGUAAAAUGCGUUAAUAUCGGCAAGAACACCAAAUGCGAAGGCAGCUCACUAGAACACACCUGACGUUCAUGGACGAAAGCGUGGGGAGCGAAAGGGAUUAGAUACCCGANUANUC